rnacentral:tRNA from 1 species
GAUAUAGCUCAGCUGGGAGAGCGCCUGCCUUGCACGCAGGAGGUCAGCGGUUCGAUCCCGCUUAUCUCCACCAACA